UCAAACUCUCUCGGACCUUCUUUAACCCUAGCAUCCUCUCAUCGUCGUCCACCUCGAAACUCAUUGGAAUCCAUGGCUUCUCAGGCCAUGGAGGUCUUAUACUCACAUCCUAUUGCUAUUAUGUGCUUGAUACCUGAAGAUUAAAGGACAAACCUUGAAGUUUUACGCUCUGACCAUUGCCGAUUCGAGGUCCCAAGGUCAUUUCUAGCCUUGCUCCGGUGUAUCAAGGUUGUUUGAGCCUGGUUCUGGCUUCCCCGACUCCGAUCAGUGACCUUUUCAAAGCCUUUCUGAAAUCCUAACCUUCGAGGUUUUCUCCCAUUUUUAAAUCCGUUGUGUGUCUGUGCUUUACUUGAGGUUUUCAAGCGAUUCUACCGACUUUUCUUUCAAAUCAGUGUCUAAAAACCUUUCUUUUCCAAUCUAGGGUUUUCUGAAAGGCGUUUAAAUGUUUUAUGAUUUUUCUUUGUCAUUUAUGCGUAUUUGUCUCUACUGUGUUAUUGUAUCAUGUUCUUAUAUGAUUUUCUUACUAUAUUUUCCUGUGUUAUGGUAUCGUAUGCUUUUCUACUAUGUUCUUAUGUUUUCUUCUACCACAUAUGUUCUUCUACUGUGCUUUCUAUAUUCCGCUCUUCUACUGUGUUUUCUAUACCAUGUUCUCAUAUGUUCAUCUUACUGUGUUUUCCUAUAUGUUCUUUUACUAUACUUUUCAAGUGGUUUUUUGUUAUUCUACUGUAUUUUUUACUAAGUUCUUAAGUUUCUUUAUUUGCCUUCUACUGAACCUUGUUUGAGUUUUUCUAAAGAAUGUUUCUUCUAUUGUAUUCCUAAGCGUUCUACUAUUUUUCUUCUACUGAACCUUGUUUGAAUUCUUUUAAAAAGACUUUCUUAAGCAUGUUUCUUCUACUAUAGUCUUAAAUGUUUUUACUAUUUUUUCUCUACUGAACAUUGGUUAAGUUUCUUCUAAAAAGCAUAUUUCUUCUACUAUUUCCCUUUAUAUUCUUUGAAUCCCUCUACUGUGUUUGCAUCAUGAGUUCUGAAAGAGGCAUGUUAGAAGCUUCAGUCCUCUUUUGAAUCCUCUACACAUGUAUCGAUUCAAUUUGCUUUCCCUCUCCUCUUUAGUUUCUGGUUUGUUCUAACUAGGCAUUUAUUUCAAAGAACCCCUAAUUCUUUCAAACCGACUUUGAGUCUUUGAACAUAGUAUGAACAUCUUUGUUUUCAUACAAUUCUGAAUUUUUUGUUGAACUCUCCUAUACUGGCAUUUUUACUGAUUUUAUGACAAGUUUCUUUCAUGCAUAACGUGUCUGUAUGCUUUUUUAUAGGUUAUGAGUUUCGAUUUAAAAUAAUUUCAAACUUGUGAUUGAUUCAAAAUUCCUUUUAAAUAGGUCUAAUUGAUUGUUUCUUGAUUCUUUUUAAGUUAAAACCUUUUCCAUCUAUCUGGCUUGGUUCAUUCAUAACAAAUCUUUGACCUCUAAUUUCCUGGCUGUUAAUUGAUUCUUUUGCCUUAUUUGCACAAAUUGGUACUGUCAAGACCCUGUCCUUAAAUAGCCUUUAUGUAUUUGCCCUCAAUUGUAUGCUUUACACAAAAUGUUUACUUAAUUUCUUUCCUUAAUUGGCUUAUACCCAUUUGAACCUGAAUCCCUUAAUUAAAGGGAGCUUUGUGUAAGUGAUUGAAAAUCAGUUCUUUAAAUAUUUUCUUACCUUAUUUCUGUUUCCUUCUGCACUAUAAAUACAUGACCUUUAAUUUCAAAAAAACAUGAUUUUUCUAACAAUUACAC
rnacentral:lncRNA from 1 species